UAGACGAUGUCCAUGGGGCGUUGAAAACGUAGUCAGCCUUACUAUAUUCUCGAUGUCCAAUGUUUGAUAAGUUUCCAUUUUAUUUGAAGAAAU